rnacentral:rRNA from 1 species
UGACCUCGGAUCAGGUAGGAAUACCCGCUGAACUUAAGCAUAUCAAUC